rnacentral:rRNA from 1 species
UACGUAGGUGGCAAGCGUUAUCCGGAUUUAUUGGGCGUAAAGGGUGCGCAGGCGGUUUAUUAAGUUUGAGGUGAAAGCGUUGAGCUCAACUCAAUCAAGCCUCAAAUACUGAUAGACUAGAGUGCAGAAGAGGGUAUUGGAAUUCCAUGUGUAGCGGUAAAAUGCAUAGAUAUAUGGAGGAACACCAGUGGCGAAGGCGGAUACCUGGUCUGUUACUGACGCUCAGGCACGAAAGCGUGGGGAGCAAAUA